rnacentral:lncRNA from 1 species
AGCAGUAGCAUCACAUAUGCUUGGGGAGACUGAGUAGAACAUCUCCUGUGACGUGCCUCACCCCAUCUUUCCACCCAAAAUUGAAGACAAUCUGAUAUGCUGAUGAUGGCUACACGUAGAGUGCCUGGAUUCAUCUGCAUUGAAACUCCUUGAGAAUUUUGAUAGGUUGAGCCAAAACAGAAUAAUGAAAUGAACCCUUCUAGGCAGGAAGGCAGAAACAGACAUAAAAGAUGAUUUCUCUGUGUUAUCUGGCCUUUAUGGAAAGAACCAUGAUGAGCUUCCAGAAAAUGCAUUAUUGAUGUGAUGUAAUAAGGCAGGGGUUUUAACAUCUUCAUCCUGGAAAAUUGGAGUCCUUCCCAUGGAAUGUGUGUGUUGAGCUUAGCAGAGACAGCCCUUUCCACUCUGGAGGUAAGACUGGGAAAAUUUGAGUCCAGAGCCCUCUGCUGCCUCUGGGCCCACUGCCUGUCCAAACACACCUGCAGGAGGAGAGAAGGACCUUGUUACAAACAAGAGAAGAGGAGAUCAAAGCAGCUGCAUCAUCUCAUUAACCUUCACCCCCAGAGAAGAUGGCAAGGAAAACUUAGAAACAAACAAAAUCAAGCCACUCUUCCUGCCUUCAGUGGAGCUUCAAACCAGAGGAUGUUACCUGGAACACACUGGAGAGUCAUAACCUUGGAGUUCACAUUAAAGACGUCAGUCCCAGGAAACUCCUACUCACCCAGCUUGAAUUCACCAGGGGAAGGCUGAAUGAGGACACAGUGAGAAGAUGGCAAGAUGGUCUCACCACAACCCAAUCCAACAGCACCUUGAUCUUGGAUACACAGCCCCCAGAACUUCAGGACAAUAGAUGGAUUUCUGUUGUUUAAGCCACCCAGUCUGUAGUCAUUUGUGAUGACAGCCUUAGCCAACUCAUAUAAACCAUAGAGGCCCAAACAGGUCCACUCAACGACUGAGAGAAAUUGCAAUGCAGUAAAACUCCCCAUAAGCUUCUUCAGAGUAAGACAUUUCUGGGACACCUUUUGCCCCAAAGAUUAUUCCUCACUCACUGACCUCUGGGUUUCAAGGAGAAGCUCCCUUCCUGCUGAUUUUAAGCAUCCCAUAGUAUGACAAUCAUCGACAGGAAAGAUAUUGUCUAAU